rnacentral:rRNA from 1 species
UACGUAGGGUGCAAGCGUUAAUCGGAAUUACUGGGCGUAAAGCGUGCGCAGGCGGUUGUGCAAGACCGAUGUGAAAUCCCCGGGCUUAACCUGGGAAUGGCAUUGGUGACUGCACGGCUAGAGUGUGUCAGAGGGGGGUAGAAUUCCACGUGUAGCAGUGAAAUGCGUAGAGAUGUGGAGGAAUACCGAUGGCGAAGGCAGCCCCCUGGGAUAACACUGACGCUCAUGCACGAAGGCGUGGGGAGCAAACAGG